AUACGAAGGGGGCUAGCGUUGUUCGGAAUUACUGGGCGUAAAGCGCACGUAGGCGGAUCGUUUAGUCGGGGGUGAAAUCCCGGGGCUUAACCCCGGAACUGCCUCCGAUACUGGCGAUCUUGAGUCCGAGAGAGGUGAGUGGAACUCCGAGUGUAGAGGUGAAAUUCGUAGAUAUUCGGAAGAACACCAGUGGCGAAGGCGGCUCACUGGCUCGGUACUGACGCUGAGGUGCGAAAGCGUGGGGAGCAAACAGGAUUAGAUACCCCUGUAGUCC
rnacentral:rRNA from 1 species